GAAACUUUCCGUUGGGCUGUACAAUAACAAAGUGACAGACAAGACAGAAGUGAUUUUUAGCGCAGUGUGAACGCAGCAACUGGCUAACUGUUAGCCACAGAUGAAGCUAAAUUUAGCAUCUGCAUCAGCGCUAAGCUAGCAAAGCUAAAUGUCAGGACCUGCAGCUCAGCGUUUGCUGCUUUUCAGCAGGUGAAUUUUAUUCUGCUCACUACCCUCAGUGGCGUCUCUGACAUUUGCUGUUUGCCAUUCGUAUUCCCCCGCGCGCUGUGAAACAUCUGGUGAGGUUUCAAAUUCAUCGUGGUCAUUAAAAGGAGAAGUGCAUCUCGUGGCAGCAUUUUAUUGGAACCUGCUGAGCUCCGGCAAUUCAGGACUUGUUGGGUCAUUACGCGUGGUUUGAGGAAAAUAUAAAAGAUAUUUUACUGGCCUGGCCAGAGGCUAGUUGGCACCUGUAUCGACCGAAGAUCUGAUAAAAUGGGAUCAAGAGUCAGAUUCCUGGGCAUGGAUUCCUAAACAGGAAGUGUACUCCGUUUUCCGAAUCCACUGGAGAGUUAAAAAGGAAAGUCAACCUACAGAGCUGUGGACGUGGAUCAGCUGAUGGUACGACGGGAUGAAAGAAUACUUCGCUGGAUGGACAAAUUUCACAGCAAACUGAGUUUCUUUUCCUCAGCUGAGGAAAACUCGGUUUGCUGUCACUCACCAGGCCAUUGUGGUGAGUCUGAAGACUCACCAUCAGAGAAAAAGGCGUCUGAAGGUAAUGGAGAUAAGACUGCCCGUUUAGGGAAAAAAUUUAUCAAACGUUCACGAAGGAGAACGUUUGAAAAGGCAGCAGAGUCUAAAGGCUCAACCUCUGUGCCCAAGGAAGAAACUUCCCCGCCUGGGGAAGUUUCCAGUGAACUGAAACAAACUACAGAGGUUGAGUCCAAAGACUGAUCGAACAAAAGCGGCUUUAAAAGAACAGAGCCAUAGAAAGACAUCUGUUGGAGGGCAUAAUUACGCCAGUCGUUACAAACAUAUCAAGCCCACAAGACCUUGGGAAGUUUUACCUGGCUGUGAACUUUGUAACGCAGAGAAAAAAUGUCCAGCAGAAAGGAGGAAACAUUCACACAGACGAAUAUCUAAAAAGUUUUGUUGCACCACAUUUAGACUUUCACCACAUUACAUUUGUCACGAUCCUCCUGAUUUCGUCUUGGUCCAGUCUGUUGUCCAGAUGAACACUGAGGUGUUCAUAUUGUUCAGCAACCAUCACUUCUUCUCCCACCUAAAAACUCAACCUCUACUUUAACAAAAGCAGCUUUAGAAGAAUGGAGCCAUGAAGAGAAAUCUGUCCCAGGGAUCAAUUUCUCUGAGCCCAAAGGAGAAACUUCCCCGGCUGGGAGCGGAGUUACGCCUGUGGCUGUAACUCCGCUCUCGCCCACUCCCACGGAUUCUGCUCUCUGCCCCGAUCGUGUAUGACCUCCGCCCGUCUGACUAGGAUUCAGGAUCUGGAUUUGGUUCGUCUGCUUCCCCCACAAGUUGGCACGCUGCCCUGCAUCAGCGCUUCCCUCCCCAGGCACUUCGUCCCGAGCUCUGCGUCAGCGCAGCAUCUGCUCCACUCCUUGUUCCUCAGCCGAUCCCCACUUUUACAGAACGCCAGGUUAGUGUUUCCCUCUACACAUACGCUAACAGACCCCUUUGUUGCUAUUUCUCCGGUCAUCAACCUCUCCUUUUCGCCCCCCCUUCGCAGUGCUGCAGCUGACGAUCCUGUGCCCGGUUUAAGCUGCCUUUUAAUAAAUAUCAGAUUUACUGCUCA